AUUGAACGCUGGCGGAAUGCUUUACACAUGCAAGUCGAACGGCAGCACGGGGCAACCUGGUGGCGAGUGGCGAACGGGUGAGUAAUACAUCGGAACGUGCCCAAUCGUGGGGGAUAACGUAGCGAAAGCUACGCUAAUACCGCAUACGAUCUACGGAUGAAAGCGGGGGAUCGCAAGACCUCGCGCGAAUGGAGCGGCCGAUGGCAGAUUAGGUAGUUGGUGGGGUAAAGGCUCACCAAGCCUGCGAUCUGUAGCUGGUCUGAGAGGACGACCAGCCACACUGGAACUGAGACACGGUCCAGACUCCUACGGGAGGCAGCAGUGGGGAAUUUUGGACAAUGGGCGCAAGCCUGAUCCAGCCAUUCCGCGUGCAGGAUGAAGGCCCUCGGGUUGUAAACUGCUUUUGUACGGAACGAAAAGGCUUUCUCUAAUACAGGGGGCUCAUGACGGUACCGUAAGAAUAAGCACCGGCUAACUACGUGCCAGCAGCCGCGGU
rnacentral:rRNA from 1 species